CCAGCCAUGCCGCGUGAGUGAAGAAGGCCUUCGGGUUGUAAAGCUCUUUCGGCAGGAACGAAAUGGUUCGUGCUAAUACCACGGACUGAUGACGGUACCUGAAGAAGAAGCACCGGCUAACUACGUGCCAGCAGCCGCGGUAAUACGUAGGGUGCAGGCGUUAAUCGGAAUUACUGGGCGUAAAGCGUGCGCAGGCGGUUUCUUAAGUCAGAUGUGAAAGCCCCGGGCUUAGCCUGGGAACUGCGUUUGAAACUGGGAGACUUGAGUGUGGCAGAGGGGGGUGGAAUUCCACGUGUAGCAGUGAAAUGCGUAGAUAUGUGGAGGAACACCAAUGGCGAAGGCAGCCCCCUGGGUCAACACUGACGCUCAUGCACGAAAGCGUGGGGAGCAAACAGGAUUAGAUACCCUGGUAGUCCACGCCCUAAACGAUGUCAACUGGUUGUUGGGGGAUUAACUCCCUUAGUAACGAAGCUAACGCGUGAAGUUGACCGCCUGGGGGGUACGGCCGCAAGGUUAAAACUCAAAGGAAUUGACGGGGACCCGCACAAGCGGUGGAUUAUGUGGAUUAAUUCGAUGCAACGCGAAAAACCUUACCUACCCUUGACAUGCUAGGAAGCUUGCAGAGAUGCGAGUGUGCCCGAAAGGGAACCUAGACACAGGUGCUGCAUGGCUGUCGUCAGCUCGUGUCGUGAGAUGUUGGGUUAAGUCCCGCAACGAGCGCAACCCUUGUCAUUAGUUGCUACAUUCAGUUGGGCACUCUAAUGAGACUGCCGGUGACAAACCGGAGGAAGGUGGGGAUGACGUCAAGUCCUCAUGGCCCUUAUGGGUAGGGCUUCACACGUAAUACAAUGGCCGGUACAGAGGGUUGCCAACCCGCGAGGGGGAGCCAAUCCCAGAAAGCCGG
rnacentral:rRNA from 1 species